rnacentral:rRNA from 1 species
UACGUAGGGUGCAAGCGUUAAUCGGAAUUACUGGGCGUAAAGCGUGCGCAGGCGGUGAUGUAAGACAGAUGUGAAAUCCCCGGGCUCAACCUGGGAACUGCAUUUGUGACUGCAUCGCUGGAGUACGGCAGAGGGGGAUGAAAUUCCGCGUGUAGCAGUGAAAUGCGUAGAUAUGCGGAGGAACACCGAUGGCGAAGGCAAUCCCCUGGGCCUGUACUGACGCUCAUGCACGAAAGCGUGGGGAGCAAACAGG